rnacentral:lncRNA from 1 species
AGUAACAGAGUUGUUUACCUACCUGCCGUUAAGUGCUUUAUUGAGUUUACACAUCAAUAUUAAAUACUAUACAUGUAAAUAAAUAAAUAUAUAGUAAUGAAUUUGGUGAUCUAUAAUGUAGCAUUUUUUUGAAUGAAAUUAAGUAGCAGUAGCAUUAUACUUACCAAUAAUAGUUCAUUUCAUGUGAUGAUAUCACAUGUUGUUGCAACAUUGCAAAUUACGGCGUACCCCUUGUUCCCGCAAGAGUGGAAUCAUUCUAAAGUGAAAGCCCCGGCCUGCCCUAGGCUUUUUGCAUAUAUCAAAACACACAAGCACCUGUUCAAACCUAGACCAAUAGUGGAG